UAUUUCCUACGGGGGGCAGCAGUGGGGAAUAUUGCGCAAUGGGGGCAACCCUGACGCAGCAACGCCGCGUGCAGGAAGAAGGUCUUCGGAUUGUAAACUGUUGUCGCAAGGGAAGAAGACAGUGACGGUACCUUGUGAGAAAGUCACGGCUAACUACGUGCCAGCAGCCGCGGUAAUACGUAGGUGGCAAGCGUUGUCCGGAUUUACUGGGUGUAAAGGGCGUGUAGCCGGGCUGACAAGUCAGAUGUGAAAUCCCGUGGCUCAACCACGGAACUGCAUUUGAAACUGUCGGUCUUGAGUAUCGG
rnacentral:rRNA from 1 species